rnacentral:rRNA from 1 species
UACGUAGGGUGCAAGCGUUGUCCGGAAUUAUUGGGCGUAAAGAGCUCGUAGGCGGUCUGUCGCGUCUGCUGUGAAAACUCAGGGCUUAACCCUGAGCUUGCAGUGGGUACGGGCAGACUAGAGUGCGGUAGGGGAGACUGGAAUUCCUGGUGUAGCGGUGAAAUGCGCAGAUAUCAGGAGGAACACCGGUGGCGAAGGCGGGUCUCUGGGCCGUAACUGACGCUGGAGGAGCGAAAAGCCGUGGGGAGCGAACAGG